UACGGAAGGGGGCUAGCGUUGCUCGGAAUCACUGGGCGUAAAGGGUGCGUAGGCGGGUCUUUAAGUCAGGGGUGAAAUCCUGGAGCUCAACUCCAGAACUGCCUUUGAUACUGAGGAUCUUGAGUUCGGGAGAGGUGGAGUGGAACUGCGAGUGUAAGAGGUGAAAUUCGUAGAUAUUCGCAAGAACACCAGUGGCGAAGGCGGCUCACUGGCCCGAGUACUGACGCUGAGGCACGAAAGCGUGGGGAGCGAACGAGGA
rnacentral:rRNA from 1 species